GGUUGCGAUCAUACCAGCACUAAUGCACCGGAUCCCAUCAGAACUCCGCAGUUAAGCGUGCCUGGGCGAGAGUAGUACUAGGAUGGGUGACCCCCUGGGAAGUCCUCGUGUUGCAACCCC
rnacentral:rRNA from 1 species